GACGAACCGUGCGAACGUUGUUCGGAAUCACCGGGCUUAAAGGGCGCGUAGGCGGGCUGCGGCGUCCGGGGUGAAAUCCUCCCGCUCAACGGGAGAACGGCCUCGGAUACGGGCGGCCUCGAGGGGGGUAGGGGCAUCUGGAACUGUGAGUGGAGCGGUGAAAUGCGUUGAUAUUCACAGGAACUCCGGUGGCGAAGGCGAGGUGCUGGACCCCUUCUGACGCUGAGGCGCGAAAGACAGGGGAGCGAACGGG
rnacentral:rRNA from 1 species